AAGAUGGUGAUGAAGCACUAAUAUCCAACACUUGAACUGAGGCAUAUUGUCGAGUGAUGUUUUAACAUUCAUUGGCUUCUGAAUCUGA